AAUAAACAAAAAUCAACACUGAAAGCCACCUCUAAUAACAACAUAUUUCAGCAGAAAUCUACAAUUAAUACAUCACAGCCCUAUUAUGGUGUAACUUCAAUGUAGGCUGAAAGUGAAAAAUAAACUUGUAGAAUAAAAAAGGAAACAAGAUCAGACAAAAUAAUAACACCAUUUCUUCAUUUCUCGGCACUUUAUGAGCCCCCCUUUGCAUGUUGAAAGUCAAAAAGGUGUACCUGGAAAUUGAGCAAAGUGAGAGGAAUCAGAGGUCUGUUAAGCCAGCAACAAACAGCAACAACAAAACCAAUUCAAAGCCCAGGCAGUAGUAUGAAAUAACCCCAAGGAGUAAUUUCAAUCAAAUAACACCAGUAAACAACUUAAAAUUAUCUUGAAUGGACUAGAUUUAACUCGAGAACAACCUCAAGAAUCACUAAAACCUUAUCCUAGAACACUCAAUAGAACAGUAAUUUCCUAGACAUUAAUCCCCUGAAUUUUAGUACCUUUUCCAAUGUAUGUUUUUGAUUCCUUCCAGAUUUUCAGAAGGUCCAGCAUCGCUUUCAAUUUAUGAAACAGUGGAAUUUAUGCAACUUUUAUAUUUUUU
rnacentral:lncRNA from 1 species